AUUGAACGCUGGCGGCAGGCCUAACACAUGCAAGUCGAGCGGAUGAAGGGAGCUUGCUCCUGGAUUCAGCGGCGGACGGGUGAGUAAUGCCUAGGAAUCUGCCUGGUAGUGGGGGAUAACGUCCGGAAACGGGCGCUAAUACCGCAUACGUCCUGAGGGAGAAAGUGGGGGAUCUUCGGACCUCACGCUAUCAGAUGAGCCUAGGUCGGAUUAGCUAGUUGGUGGGGUAAAGGCCUACCAAGGCGACGAUCCGUAACUGGUCUGAGAGGAUGAUCAGUCACUGGAACUGAGACACGGUCCAGACUCCUACGGGAGGCAGCAGUGGGGAAUAUUGGACAAUGGGCGAAAGCCUGAUCCAGCCAUGCCGCGUGUGUGAAGAAGGUCUUCGGAUUGUAAAGCACUUUAAGUUGGGAGGAAGGGCAGUAAGUUAAUACCUUGCUGUUUUGACGUUACCAACAGAAUAAGCACCGGCUAACCUCGUG
rnacentral:rRNA from 1 species